rnacentral:rRNA from 1 species
AGUAAAAGUCGUAACAAGGUUUCCGUAGGUGAACCUGCGGAAGGAUCAUUACUGAGGUUAACCGGGGGUGAGCUCGUUGCUGGCGCGUUCUUUUUUGAGCGCGCAUGUGCACAGUUCAUCUUCGUUCCUUCCUUAUCAACCCCUGUGCACUAUAUUAGGAUUAGAGAGAAGCGCGUCGUUCAGGGAUUAACGUAGUAGUUGUGGGUCCCCACUCGCGGCGAAAAGGUUAAUCUGUUAUCGGCGGCGUGUGGUACCUCGAAGUCCUUGUUUAUCAUAAACCACUAUACAUGUCUUGUCAGAAUGUUCAGUCCCUCGUUGGACGCUAAAUAUAAUACAACUUUCAACAACGGAUCUCUUGGCUCUCGCAUCGAUGAAGAACGCAGCGAAAUGCGAUAAGUAAUGUGAAUUGCAGAAUUCAGUGAAUCAUCGAAUCUUUGAACGCACCUUGCGCCCUUUGGUAUUCCGAAGGGCACGCCUGUUUGAGUGUCAUGUUCAUCUCAAUCCAUCAAGCUUUUGCGAGCUUGGCUUGGGUUGGAUUUGGGAGUCUGCUGGCCCCUUCUGCUGGGGUCGGCUCUCCUUGAAUGCAUGAGUGAGCAUCUGACUCGCGUUGCUGGUGUGAUAAGUUUCAUCAUUGGCGGCGCUUGUCUAAUGGGCUUGCUUUCGAACCGUCUUCUCAACGGAGACAACCUUUGACAUAUUUGACCUCAAAUCAGGUGGGACUACCCGCUGAACUUAAGCAUAUCAAUAAGCGGAGGAAAAGAAACUAACAAGGAUUCCCCUAGUAACUGCGAGUGAACCGGGAUGAGCUCAAAUUUAAAAUCUGGCGGUUCUGCCGUCCGAGUUGUAAUCUGGAGAAGCGUCUUCCGCGC